GCUCAGUAACACGUAGUCAACAUGCCCAGGGGACGUGGAUAACCUCGGGAAACUGAGGAUAAACCGCGAUAGGUCAUCACUUCUGGAAUGGGUAAUGACUUAAACCUAUAUGGCCCCUGGAUUGGACUGCGGCCGAUCAGGCUGUUGGUGAGGUAAUGGCCCACCAAACCUGUAACCGGUACGGGCUCUGAGAGGAGGAGCCCGGAGAUGGGCACUGAGACAAGGGCCCAGGCCCUAUGGGGCGCAGCAGGCGCGAAACCUCUGCAAUAGGCGAAAGCUUGACAGGGUUACUCUGAGUGAUUUCCGUUAAGGAGAUCUUUUGGCACCUCUAAAAAUGGUGCAGAAUAAGGGGUGGGCAAGUCUGGUGUCAGCCGCCGCGGUAAUACCAGCACCCCGAGUGGUCGGGACGUUUAUUGGGCCUAAAGCAUCCGUAGCCGGUUCUACAAGUCUUCCGUUAAAUCCACCUGCUUAACAGUUGGGCUGCGGAAGAUACUAUAGAGCUAGGAGGCGGGAGAGGCAAGCGGUACUCGAUGGGUAGGGGUAAAAUCCGUUGAUCCAUUGAAGACCACCAGUGGCGAAGGCGGCUUGCCAGAACGCGCUCGACGGUGAGGGAUGAAAGCUGGGGGAGCAAACCGGAUUAGAUACCCGGGUAGUCCCAGCUGUAAACGAUGCAGACUCGGUGAUGAGUUGGCUUAUUGCUAACUCAGUGCCGCA
rnacentral:rRNA from 1 species